rnacentral:lncRNA from 1 species
ACCUAUACAACUAAACACAACAUUACCAACCUGCUACAACAUUACCAACCUGCUACAAGUAAACACAACAUUACCAACCUGCACAACUCAACACAACAUUACCAACCUGCACAACUCAACACAACAUUAUCAACCUGCUACAACAUUAUCAACCUAUACAACUAAACACAACAUUAUCAACCUGCUACAACAUUAUCAACCUAUACAACUAAACACAACAUUACCAACCUGCUACAACUCAACACAACAUUAUCAACCUAUACAACUAAACACAACAUUAUCAACCUGCUACAACAUUAUCAACCUAUACAACUAAACACAACAUUAUCAACCUGCUACAACAUUAUCAACCUAUACAACUAAACACAACAUUACCAACCUGCUACAACUCAACACAACAUUACCAACCUGCUACAACUAAAUACAACAUUAUCAACCUGCUACAACAUUAUCAACCUGUACAACUAAACACAACAUUAUCGACCUGCUACAACUAAACACAACAUUAUCGACCUGCUACAACUAAACACAACAUUACAACCUGCUACAACUAAACACAACAUUAUCGACCUGCUACAACUAAACACAACAUUAUCGACCUGCUACACAGAGAGGAACCAAGCAUAAAUGUAUUUUUCCAUUGAUUGAAAAUAGCUGUCACUGCAGGGGGAUGUUUGUAGCCAUCUUUUCAUUUUAUUUUCUCCUUCAUGUGGGAACAUCUAUAAUAUUAGACCCAUCUCUUUAUUCUCUUGAAUGACUUGUACAGACCAGGGUCUGUACCGACCCCGAGCUGGACUGAGGAGGUUUUAUACAGACCAGGGUCUGUAUCGACCCCGAGCUGGACUGAGGAGGUUUUAUACAGACCAGGGUCUGUACCGACCCCGAGCUGGACUGAGGAGGUUUUAUUCAGACCAGGGUCUGUAUCGACCCCGAGCUGGACUGAGGAGGUUUUAUACAGACCAGGGUCUGUAUCGACCCCGAGCUGGACUGAGGAGGUUUUAUACAGACCAGGGUCUGUACCGACCCCGAGCUGGACUGAGGAGGUUUUAUACAGACCAGGGUCUGUACUGAGCUGGACUGAGGAGGUUUUAUACAGACCAGGGUCUGUGAUCAACCAAGAUGGACUGAGGAGGUUUUAUACAGACCAGGAUCUGUACCGACCCAGAACUGAACUGAGGAGGUUUUAUACAGACCAGGGUCUGUACCGACCCAGAGCUGGACUGAGGAGGUUUUAUACAGACCAGGGUCUGUACCGACCCAGAGCUGGACUGAGGAGGUUUUAUACAGACCAGGGUCUGUGAUCAACCAAGAUGGACUGAGGAGGUUUUAUACAGACCAGGAUCUGUACCGACCCAGAACUGAACUGAGGAGGUUUUAUACAGACCAGGGUCUGUACCGACCCAGAGCUGGACUGAGGAGGUUUUAUACAGACCAGGGUCUGUACCGACCCAGAGCUGGACUGAGGAGGUUUUAUACAGACCAGGGUCUGUGAUCAACCAAGAUGGACUGAGGAGGUUUUAUACAGAUCAGGGUCUGGACUGAGGAGGUUUUAUACAGACCAGGGUCUGUACCGACCCAGAACUGGACUGAGGAGGUUUUAUACAGACCAGGGUCUGUACCGACCCAGAACUGGACUGAGGAGGUUUUAUACAGACCAGGGUCUGUACCGACCCCGAGCUGCACUGAGGAGGUUUUAUACAGACCAGGGUCUGUACCGACCCCGAGCUGGACUGAGGAGGUUUUAUACAGACCAGGGUCUGUAUCGACCCCGAGCUGGACUGAGGAGGUUUUAUACAGACCAGGGUCUGUACCGAGCUGGACUGAGGAGGUUUUAUACAGACCAGGGUCUGUAUCAACCCCGAGCUGGACUGAGGAGGUUUUAUACAGACCAGGGUCUGUACCGACCCCGAGCUGGACUGAGGAGGUUUUAUACAGACAGGGUCUGUGAUCAACCAAGAUGGACUGAGGAGGUUUUAUACAGACCAGGAUCUGUACCGAGCUGGACUGAGGAGGUUUUAUACAGACCAGGGUCUGUAUCGACCCAGAGCUGGACUGAGGGGUUUUAUACAGACCAGGGUCUGUACCGACCCAGAGCUGGACUGAGGAGGUUUUAUACAGACCAGGGUCUGUAUCGACCCCGAGCUGGACUGAGGAGGAUUUAUACAGACCAGGGUCUGUACCGAGCUGGACUGAGGGGUUUUAUACAGACCAGGGUCUGUACCGAGCUGGACUGAGGAGGUUUUAUACAGACCAGGGUCUGUACCGACCCAGAGCUGGACUGAGGAGGUUUUAUACAGACCAGGGUCUGUAUCGACCCCGAGCUGGACUGAGGAGGUUUUAUACAGACCAGGGUCUGUACCGAGCUGGACUGAGGGGUUUUAUACAGACCAGGGUCUGUACCGACCCAGAGCUGGACUGAGGAGGUUCUAUACCUGGUCUGUGUUCAACCAAGAUGGAAGAGGAACGACUCAAACAUCCGAAUCUUAGUGCCAAGGUUACCGUGGAAACAGAGGAGGGGAACUGAUUUGUCUAAGUAACUAAUAUUAAAACAUUAAAAAAAUAAGUGUUAUGUAAAGUUGUUAUUGUCUAUUUGUUGGAGCGUAAACAGAGAAACAACAGAUGGGACGAUGUGCAUUGUUGUCCUGUCAGGAGUGGAUUGAUUGAUUGAUUGAUUGAUUGAUUGAUUGAUUGAUUGAACUCUGGCUCCAAAGGUAAGGUAGGAGCAGAUGGUAGGGCGAGGCCUCUUCCUAUUGGAGGACCAACAGCCUAUUAUCUAUCAGUCCCACUACCACCCAGUACACCAACUACCCUGUAGAACCAUCAGUCCCACUACCACCCAGUACACCGACUACCCUGUAGAACCCAGCCUAGUACCCAUCAGUCCCACUACCACCCAGUACAC